CCUGUCCCUAGAGGCAUCAGGUGUGGCUGCAGUGUCACAUGUGCAUCUGCAUCGGUAAGUGGCAGAGAGGAGAGAGGCUACAUGUACACUCGAUGUUCUGGUCUAUGAACAUCUGAAUGGUUUUCCCUUAAAAA